CCUACGGGUGGCAGCAGUGGGGGAUAUUGCACAAUGGGGGAAACCCUGAUGCAGCGACGCCGCGUGUGGGAAGACGGUCCUCUGGAUUGUAAACCACUGUCCCCAGGGACGAAAAUGACGGUACCUGGGGAGGAAGCUCCGGCUAACUACGUGACAGCAGCCGCGGUAAUACGCAGGGGGCGAGCGUUGUCCGGAAUUACUGGGUGUAAAGGGAGCGUAGGCGGGGAUGCAAGUUGGGUGUCAAAACUACCGGCUGAACUGGUAGUCGCACUUAAAACUGCAGCUCUUGAGUGAAGUAGAGGCAGGCGGAAUUCCUAGUGUAGCGGUGAAAUGCGUAGAUAGUAGGAGGAACACCAGUGGCGAAGGCGGCCUGCUGGGCUUUUACUGACGCUGAGGCUCGAAAGUGUGGGGAGCAAACAGGAUUAGAUACCCCUGUAGUC
rnacentral:rRNA from 1 species